GCAGUCGAGGGGUAUAGGUUUUCGGACCUAGAGACCGGCGCACGGGUGCGUAACGCGUAUGCAAUCUACCUUUUACAGAGGGAUAGCCCAGAGAAAUUUGGAUUAAUACCUCAUAGUAUUAUUGAAUGGCAUCAUUUAAUAAUUAAAGUCACAACGGUAAAAGAUGAGCAUGCGUCCCAUUAGCUAGAUGGUAAGGUAACGGCUUACCAUGGCAACGAUGGGUAGGGGUCCUGAGAGGGAGAUCCCCCACACUGGUACUGAGACACGGACCAGACUCCUACGGGAGGCAGCAGUGAGGAAUAUUGGUCAAUGGGCGCAAGCCUGAACCAGCCAUGCCGCGUGCAGGAUGAAGCAUCUAUGGUGUGUAAACUGCUUUUGUACAAGAAGAAACACUCCUUCGUGAAGGAGCUUGACGGUAUCGUAAGAAUAAGGACCGGCUAACUCCGUGCCAGCAGCCGCGGUAAUACGGAGGGUCCAAGCGUUAUCCGGAAUCAUUGGGUUUAAAGGGUCCGUAGGCGGUUUUGUAAGUCAGUGGUGAAAGCCCAUCGCUCAACGGUGGAACGGCCAUUGAUACUGCAAGACUUGAAUUAUUAGGAAGUAACUAGAAUAUGUAGUGUAGCGGUGAAAUGCUUAGAUAUUACAUGGAAUACCAAUUGCGAAGGCAGGUUACUACUAAUGGAUUGACGCUGAUGGACGAAAGCGUGGGGAGCGA
rnacentral:rRNA from 1 species